rnacentral:rRNA from 1 species
AUGAGUGGAGGGCAUGGUGAUGCUCGGAUGGCUUCAGGUAAGAUGGCAAAGUUGAAGGAGUUGUUGGACAGAAGUGAAAAUCGCAUUUGUGCUGACUGCAGCGCACCUGAUCCCAAAUGGGCAUCAGCUAAUAUUGGAGUAUUCAUAUGCGUAAAAUGUUCUGGCGUUCACAGAAGUCUCGGUACACAUAUCUCAAAGGUCCUGUCAGUGACACUAGAUAAGUGGACUGACGAUGAAAUCGACUCCAUGGUAGAAGUUGGUGGAAACUCGCAAGCCAACGCAAUCUAUGAGGCCUUUCUUCCAGAAGGCUACCGCAAGCCACACCCAGAUUCCGCACAGGAAGAUCGGCAAAAUUUUAUCAAGUCCAAAUAUGAACUUCAAGAAUUUCUGGAGCCAAGCUUACGGAUCGUCUCUAAUCAUCCUAGCAAUGCCGGAAAACAAGCAUCCAACUCACAUUCUGGUAGCUCCAAGAGUGAGAUUGGCAUGGUUGAGUUCAUCGGGAUACUGAAUGUCAAAGUCAUCGGAGGCACCAAAUUAGCUAUCAGAGAUGUGUCUAGCAGCGACCCCUAUGUUGUCUUGACCCUCGGACAACAGAAAGCGCAGACUUCAGUGAUCAAAGGAAACCUGAACCCCGUCUGGAAUGAAGAACUCAAGCUCUCUGUUCCUCGGAAGUACGGGCCUCUGAAGCUGCAAGUGUUGGACCACGACAUGGUGUCCAAGGACGACCUGAUGGGGGAGGCCGAGAUCGACCUGCAGCCCAUGAUCAAUGCGGCAGCAUCGUUUGGAGAUCCAGAACUGCUCGGGGACAUACAGAUCGGCCGGUGGCUCAAGUCCGGGGACAACGCUCUAACCGCCGACAGCGCUGUCAUGGUGACCGGAGGCAAGGUGAAGCAGGAGGUCUCCCUGAAGCUGCAGCACACCGAGUCGGGGGAGGUGACGGUGGAGAUGGAAUGGAUGGCUCUAAACAUUUAG